GGGCUCGGAUGACGCGGGCUGGACCUCUCGGGGUUACAGCCUUGCUGAAUUAUUCACCCUUGUCUUUUGCGUACUUCUUGUUUCCUUGGUGGGUUCGCCCACCACUAGGACAAACAUAAACCUUUUGUAAUUGCAAUCAGCGUCAGUAACAAAUUAAUAAUUACAACUUUCAACAACGGAUCUCUUGGUUCUGGCAUCGAUGAAGAACGCAGCGAAAUGCGAUAAGUAGUGUGAAUUGCAGAAUUCAGUGAAUCAUCGAAUCUUUGAACGCACAUUGCGCCCUUUGGUAUUCCAAAGGGCAUGCCUGUUCGAGCGUCAUUUGUACCCUCAAGCUUUGCUUGGUGUUGGGCGUCUUGUCUCUAGCUUUGCUGGAGACUCGCCUUAAAGUAAUUGGCAGCCGGCCUACUGGUUUCGGAGCGCAGCACAAGUCGCACUCUCUAUCAGCAAAGGUCUAGCAUCCAUUAAGCCUUUUUUUCAACUUUUGACCUCGGAUCAGGUAGGGAUACCCGCUGAACUUAAGCAUAUCAAUAAGCGGAGGAAA
rnacentral:rRNA from 1 species